AUCCCAUGGUGAGGGCAUUCCCUUCGGUAUUCUUUGAAUCGGUCCCAAGCUUCAAAAAGCGACUCAUCCCGCUUUUUCUCAAAUGAUUGAAUUUUGUGACGAU
rnacentral:snoRNA from 1 species